rnacentral:rRNA from 1 species
AGAGUUUGAUCAUGGCUCAGGACGAACGCUGGCGGCAUGCCUAAUACAUGCAAGUCGAGCGGAAUGAUGAGAGCUUGCUCUCUGAUUUCAACGGCGGACGGGUGAGUAACACGUGGGCAACCUGCCCUACAGAUGGGGAUAACUCCGGGAAACCGGGGCUAAUACCGAAUAAUCAGUUUGUCCGCAUGGACAAACUCUGAAAGACGGUUUCGGCUGACACUGUAGGAUGGGCCCGCGGCGCAUUAGCUAGUUGGUGGGGUAAUGGCCUACCAAGGCAACGAUGCGUAGCCGACCUGAGAGGGUGAUCGGCCACACUGGGACUGAGACACGGCCCAGACUCCUACGGGAGGCAGCAGUAGGGAAUCUUCCACAAUGGACGAAAGUCUGAUGGAGCAAUGCCGCGUGAGCGAAGAAGGUUUUCGGAUCGUAAAGCUCUGUUGUAAGGGAAGAACACGUACGGGAGUAACUGCCCGUACCUUGACGGUACCUUAUUAGAAAGCCACGGCUAACUACGUGCCAGCAGCCGCGGUA